GUAGUUUGAUCCUGGCUCAGAUUGAACGCUAGCGGGAUGCCUUACACAUGCAAGUCGAACGGCAGCACGGACUUCGGUCUGGUGGCGAGUGGCGAACGGGUGAGUAAUGUAUCGGAACGUGCCUAGUAGCGGGGGAUAACUACGCGAAAGCGUAGCUAAUACCGCAUACGCCCUACGGGGGAAAGCAGGGGAUCGCAAGACCUUGCACUAUUAGAGCGGCCGAUAUCGGAUUAGCUAGUUGGUGGGGUAACGGCUCACCAAGGCGACGAUCCGUAGCUGGUUUGAGAGGACGACCAGCCACACUGGGACUGAGACACGGCCCAGACUCCUACGGGAGGCAGCAGUGGGGAAUUUUGGACAAUGGGGGAAACCCUGAUCCAGCCAUCCCGCGUGUGCGAUGAAGGCCUUCGGGUUGUAAAGCACUUUUGGCAGGAAAGAAACGUCAUGGGCUAAUACCCCGUGAAACUGACGGUACCUGCAGAAUAAGCACCGGCUAACUACGUG
rnacentral:rRNA from 1 species